CAAUCGGCCCUUUUCAGGGCCAACAAAUAAUUCAAACGUUUUGGAAU
rfam:Nasonia vitripennis chromosome 5 unlocalized genomic scaffold Chr5_random003, whole genome shotgun sequence.